rnacentral:rRNA from 1 species
CCCUUAGAUGAUUUGGGCUGCACGCGCGCUACACUGACCCUAACAAUGAGCAACUGUCUGGCCUGAGAUGGCUGGGUAGCCUUUUCAACCCAUGUCAUGAUUGGGCUAGAUUUUUGUAAGUCUUGAUCUCUAACGAGGAAUCCCUAGUAUGCGUGAAUCAUCAAUCCAUGCAGAUUAUGUCCCUGCCCUUUGUACACACCGCCCGUCGCUCCUACCGAUUGAAUGGUCCGGUGAAGUGUUCGGAUCGCGCCGACGUGGGCGGUUCGCCGCCGGCGACGUCGCGAGAAGUCCACUGAACCUUAUCAUUUAGAGGAAGGAGAAGUCGUAACA